CCGGUGGCCAGCAAGGUUUCGGUGCGGGCCUUUUCCGCCGGGGUGAGCAGCAGAUCACGCAGUUGCAUUGGGUGUUCGACCCGCACGCAACCGGA
rnacentral:tRNA from 1 species